UACGUAGGGUGCAAGCGUUUGUCCGGAAUUAUUGGGCGUAAAGAGCUCGUAGGCGGUCUGUCGCGUCUGGUGUGAAAACUCAGGGCUUAACCCUGAGCUUGCAUCGGGUACGGGCAGACUAGAGUGCGGUAGGGGAGACUGGAAUUCCUGGUGUAGCGGUGAAAUGGCGCAGAUAUCAGGAGGAACACCGGUGGCGAAGGCGGGUCUCUGGGCCGUAACUGACGCUGGAGGAGCGAAGACAUGGGGAGCGAA
rnacentral:rRNA from 1 species